rnacentral:rRNA from 1 species
UACAGAGGCCCCAAGCGUUACUGAGAAUCACUGGGUUUAAAGGGUGCGUAGGUGGCGCGUUAAGUCCGUUGUGAAAUCCCUUGGCUCAACCAAGGAAUGGCUUCGGAUACUGGCGUGCUUGAGGCCGGUAAGGGUCACUGGAACUGACGGUGGAGCGGUGAAAUGCGUAGAUAUCGUCAGGAACGCCAAUGGUGAAGACAGGUGACUGGGCCGGUACUGACACUGAGGCACGAAAGCGUGGGGAGCAAACAGG